UACCAGCACCCCGAGUGGUCGGGACGAUUAUUGGGCCUAAAGCAUCCGUAGCCGGUCCUACAAGUCUUCCGUUAAAUCCACCUGCUUAACAGAUGGGCUGCGGAAGAUACUAUAGGGCUAGGAGGCGGGAGAGGCAAGCGGUACUCAGUGGGUAGGGGUAAAUACCUCUGAUCCAUUGAAGACCACCAGUGGCGAAGGCGGCUUGCCAGAACGCGCUCGACGGUGAGGGAUGAAAGCUGGGGGAGCAAACCGG
rnacentral:rRNA from 1 species